rnacentral:rRNA from 1 species
AACGAACGCUGGCGGCAGACUUAACACAUGCAAGUCGAGCGGGGCCUUCGGGUUCAGCGGCGGACGGGUUAGUAACGCGUGGGAACGUGCCCUUUGCUUCGGAAUAGCCCUGGGAAACUGGGGGUAAUACCGGAUGUGCCCUGGGGGGGAAAGAUUGAUCGGCAAGGGAUCGGCUCGCGUCUGAUUAGGUAGUUGGUGGGGUAACGGCCCACCAAGCCGACGAUCGGUAGCUGGUUUGAGAGGAUGAUCAGCAACACUGGGACUGAGACACGGCCCAGACUCCUACGGGAGGCAGCAGUGGGGAAUCUUAGACAAUGGGGGCAACCCUGAUCUAGCCAUGCCGCGUGGGUGAUGAAGGCCUUAGGGUCGUAAAGCCCUUUCGCCGGGGAAGAUAAUGACGGUACCCGGUAAAGAAACCCCGGCUAACUCCGUGCCAGCCGCCGCGGUAAUAC